rnacentral:rRNA from 1 species
GGAUGAACGCUAGCGGCAGGCCUAAUACAUGCAAGUCGAACGGUGAUAGCAAUAUCAUAGUGGCGCACGGGUGCGUAACACGUAUGCAACCUACCUAUUAUUGGGGGAUAGCCUUUGGAAACGGAGAUUAAUACCGCAUAAUACGAUUGACUGGCAUCGGUUGAUUGUUAAAGCUUUGGCGAUAAUAGAUGGGCAUGCGUCCAAUUAGUUAGUUGGUUAGGUAACGGCUGACCAAGACGAUGAUUGGUAGGGGAUCUGACAGGAUAAUCCCCCACACUGGCACUGAGAUACGGGCCAGACUCCUACGGGAGGCAGCAGUAGGGAAUAUUGGGCAAUGGGCGGAAGCCUGACCCAGCCAUGCCGCGUGCAGGAAGAAGGCGUUAUGCGUUGUAAACUGCUUUUUUAUAGGAAGAAGGAUCCCUUGCGAGGGAAGGUGACGGUACUAUAAGAAUAAGCACCGGCUAACUCCGUGCCAUCAGCCGCGGUAAUACGGAGGGUGCAAGCGUUGUCCGGAUUUAUUGGGUUUAAAGGGUGCGU